UACGGAGGGUGCAAGCGUUAUCCGGAUUCACUGGGUUUAAAGGGUGCGUAGGUGGGUUUGUAAGUCAGUGGUGAAAUCUCCAGGCUUAACCUGGAAACUGCCAUUGAUACUAUAGAUCUUGAAUUAUCUGGAGGUCAGCGGAAUAUGUCAUGUAGCGGUGAAAUGCUUAGAUAUGACUAGAACACCAAUUGCGAAAGGCAGCUGGCUACAGGUAUGAUUGAC
rnacentral:rRNA from 1 species